UCCGUAGGUGAACCUGCGGAAGGAUCAUUAAAGUAUCUAAGGUGUUCAGUCCGCGCGCCCUGCUCCGACCGAAAGGUCGUGCAGCGGGCCGAGGCAGACGCCUAACCUUCACAAACCCCACUGUGCACCUUCACGGCGGAGGCCUUCGGGCGAGAGCCUGUCGGCCGAAGCCGUCCCUACAAACACUAGUAUUAAGAACGUCAAAGCGACCCCGUCGCCCAUUAAACAUAACAACUUUCAACAACGGAUCUCUUGGCUCUCGCAUCGAUGAAGAACGCAGCGAAAUGCGAUAAGUAAUGUGAAUUGCAGAAUUCAGUGAAUCAUCGAAUCUUUGAACGCACCUUGCGCUCCUUGGUAUUCCUUGGAGCAUGCCUGUUUGAGUAUCAUGAAAUCUUCAAAAUCAAACUUUUUGUUAACUCAAUUAGUCUGAUUUUGGUAUUGGAGGUCUUUGCAGCUUCACACCUGCUCCUCUUUGUGUAUUAGCUGGAUCUCAGUGUUAUGCUUGGUUCCACUCAGCGUGAUAAAUUAUCUAUCGGCUGGAGGGGGACACUGGUAAAAAGGUGGGCCAAGGGUAAAUGGCAGGAUGGAACCGGCUUCUAAUAGGUCCAUUGGGACUUGGGGGGACACUAUUUUUAUGAUCUGAUCUCAAAUCAGGUAGGACUAUCCCGCUGAACUUAA
rnacentral:rRNA from 1 species